rnacentral:rRNA from 1 species
GUGUCAGCCGCCGCGGUAAUACGGAGGGUGCAAGCGUUAAUCGGAAUUACUGGGCGUAAAGCGCGCGUAGGUGGUUCGAUAAGCGAGAUGUGAAAGCCCCGGGCUUAACCUGGGAACGGCAUUUCGAACUGUCUGACUAGAGUGUGGUAGAGGGUAGUGGAAUUUCCUGUGUAGCGGUGAAAUGCGUAGAUAUAGGAAGGAACACCAGUGGCGAAGGCGGCUACCUGGACCAACACUGACACUGAGGUGCGAAAGCGUGGGGAGCAAACAGGAUUAGAAACCCCUGUAGUCC